rnacentral:tRNA from 1 species
AGUUAAUUAGCAAAAGCAGUAUAUCUUGAAAAUAUAUUACAGAAUUAAUAAAAUUCUAUUAACUU